GACGAACCGUGCAAACGUUGUUCGGAAUCACUGGCUUAAAGGGUGUGUAGGUGGCGCCGUAAGUCGGGUGUGAAAUUUCGGAGCUUAACUCCGAAACUGCAUUCGAUACUGCGGUGCUUGAGGACUGGAGAGGAGACUGGAAUUCAUGGUGUAGCAGUGAAAUGCGUAGAGAUCAUGAGGAAGACCAGUGGCGAAGGCGGGUCUCUGGACAGUUCCUGACACUGAGGCACGAAGGCCAGGGGAGCAAACGGG
rnacentral:rRNA from 1 species